rnacentral:lncRNA from 1 species
GCUAUUUCCACAUGGCUAGAUCCAGAGCCCAGUAUCUUCAGGACUUUCUCCAGCUCAUCUCUGUCCUUCUUUUCAUGUUCAUUCUGUCUUUUUUUGCAGACAGUUUGCUCUAUAACUCCUGGGAGAAUAUGAGUAGUGUUAUUCUGUUAACACUAACUUAGAAGUGCAAUUAACAGAAAAGACCUAAGAUGGUCUCUGAUUGACCCUGCCUUUUAGUGAUGGACUCAGUGUUAGGGCAGGUUGGGUAUAGGAUCAUCAUGGAACAGGAAAGAAUGCUUCUCUGAAGAAUUGGAUGGUGGGCACAUGAGUCCACCUGCAUUGCUUAGUAUUCACUUCCUGUGUUGUGAUGAAAAGUAUAAUAAUACCAGGGUUCCAAAAAGCUAGAUCCAGAGCAAGAUAUAAAAGACUACCCCACGGCACACCAUAAUUGAAUUCUAAGUGAACUAGAAAUAAAAAGAAACAGCCUGAUAAAGGGUCUCUGUGAACAACACAAGUAAACACAAUAGUGAAAGACUCAAUGUUUUCUUCAGAAGUGCUGAAAUAAACGUCUUUAUUUGCAGAUGACAUAAUUGUCUGUAGGAGAGUUUACAGAAUAUAGAGAAAAUACUAGAGCCAGUAACCAGAAAUACUAGAACUAAGUUUAGCAAAGGUCCUAGGAUAUAAGGCCAGUGUACCAAAGUGAAUUGGAUUUUUAUAUACUAGCAACAAGUAUUCAAAAUUUUUACAAUAGCCAAGCACAAUGGUGCACUUCUUUAAUCCCAGUCUCAGGAGGCUGAAGAAUGAGGAUCGAUUCAGCCAGGCAUGGUGGCACAUGCCUGUAAUCCCAGCUAUCUGGGAAGUAGGAGGUUUGCAAGGCCAGCCUCAGCAACUUACUGAGGCCCUACGUAACUUAGUAAGAACCUGAUUGAAAACAAGAAAUUAAAAAAGGGGGGUUGGGGAUAUAGCUUAGUGGUAAAGCAUCCCUGUGUCAAUCCUCAGUACCCUUCCCAAAAAAGAAAGAUGGCUUCAGACCUCCCUGGGCAAUAGCGCAAACCCAAUCUUGUGCUACUUGGAAUUAAACACAGGUCCUUGCACAUGUUGGGCAGAGUACGCUAUAUCACUGAGCUACAUCCCUACCCCUUUUUGUUUUACUAAGUUGGCCAACAAGUUGGACAAAUUUUUAUAUCAUUUUUGUGCACUUAGGAUUAAAAAGAAGCUAAAUAAAAAU